ACGGGAGGCAGCAGUGAGGAAUAUUGGUCAAUGGACGGAAGUCUGAACCAGCCAUGCCGCGUGAAGGGUUAAGGCCCUAUGGGUCGUAAACUUCUUUUGUGGUGGAGCAAUAAGGUGCACGUGUGCAUCGAUGAGAGUACAUCACGAAUAAGCAUAGGCUAACUCCGUGCCAGCAGCCGCGGUACUACGGAGGAUGCAAGCGAUAUCCGGAUUUAUUGGGUUUAAAGGGUGCGUAGGCUGUUCUUCAAGUCAGAGGUGAAAGACCCGAGCCUAACUCGGGAACUGCCUUUGAUACUGGAGGGCUUGAAUACUGUAGCCGUAGGAGGAAUGAGAAGUGUAGCGGUGAAAUGCAUAGAUAUUACGCAGAACACCGAUUGCGAAGGCAGCUCACGAAGCAGCGAUUGACGCUGAGGCACGAAAGCGUGGGGAUCAAACAGGAUUAGAUACCCUGGUA
rnacentral:rRNA from 1 species